GCAAUGCAUGCCCUAUUGAAGAACUUUUCGCCUGUUUCCCAAAGCUUAAAUUCCCACUACUUCCACGCUUUGGAACAUUUUUCAAUUUAGAAUACUUCAGUUCCAAUAUUUGAGCAUCCAAGUUCUCUUCAUGUUUACCAGGAAAAACAUUAGCCUCAUCAUUGUAAAUUGCUACAUCAGCAGAGGAAUCCGUUGACACAGACCAUCCCAUAGGUUGCAUUUCUGUCUCUACUGUCCGUAAACGGUCAACCAAAUCACUUUUUACCCGAGAAUGAUUCCUCAAAACAGAGAGAUUCAGACCCAUCUUUGAGUUUCCUGCAUUUGCUUCAUCUUCAGUUGGUAAAGCAUAAUUCAUAUCAUCUCCAUUUCUCACUUCACUAGUUCCAUCUUCUCCUGGCUGAUUGCUUACCAAUCCACUGUUAUUCUCAGAACUCUCUAUCUGGGUUUCUCCCCUUGAAUUCAGAUCACUUGAAUUAGGCACUGAUAAAUCAAUCUGAACCUCAAAGUUGUCGCAUACUAUAGGGGCACGACAUAAAGGGCAAUUCUUGUGUGACCUUAACCAAGCGUCAAUACAAGGAAUGUGAAAAGCAUGACUACACUUCGGCAAAAGCCUAAGACUCUCAUCUUCUUGAAACUCAUUCAAGCAAACAGAGCAUUCUGUACCUUCUAUCAGACCUUCAUCUUUUUUAUACUUAAAGACUGAAAUGGAAUCAAUAACAGAUUGCUGAAGACCGACAGUUCUGAUGAACCAUGUAGGGUGGUUGAUUUCUGGUCCUUGGUCUUCAUCAAGAAAGUCCGCUUGGGUGCCAAAAAAUAGAGGUGGACCACUUCGUGAGCUUCUUGAACGUCUCUGCCUAGAGGAGCGAGCUCUUAAAAUUGCGCANNNNNAAUAUAGCACCAAUCAAACAACCCAUGAUUAUCAUAGCAGUUGCGAUUAGAUGGUUUUGCGCUUCAUCGACUGGAGUUGGCAGAUUUAGAGUUACUGGUGGUUGUGG
rnacentral:misc_RNA from 1 species